UUGACAUACACCAGAUCGGCGCAGAGAUGCGUUUUUCCCUUGGUGGUUGGUGUACAGGUGGUGCAUGGUUGUCGUCAGCUCGUGUCGUGAGAUGUUGGGUUAAGUCCCGCAACGAGCGCAACCCUUGUCUUAUGUUGCCAGCACGUGAUGGUGGGGACUCAUGAGAGACUGCCGGGGUUAACUCGGAGGAAGGUGGGGAUGAACGUCAAAUCAUCAUGCCCCUUAUGUCCAGGGCUUCACACAUGCUACAAUGGUCGGUACAACGCGUGUGCGACACUGUGAGGUGAAGCUAAUCGCUCUAAAGCCGGUCGUAGUUCGGAUUGGGGUCUGCAACUCGACCCCAUGAAGUCGGAGUCGCUAGUAAUCGCAGAUCAGCAACGCUGCGGUGAAUACGUUCCCGGGCCUU
rnacentral:rRNA from 1 species